rnacentral:rRNA from 1 species
UGCCUAAUAGCUAGCCCAAACUAUACCACCAAAAAUUAAUUAUAAAUACCCCUUAAUUAACUUAAAAAAUUUAAACAAACCAUUUUUCCACCCUAGUAUGGGCGACAGAAAAGGAACACGGAGCAACAGAAAAAGUACCGCAAGGGAAAGCUGAAAGAGAAAUGAAACAACUUGUUUAAGCCACAAAAAGCAGAGAUUAAAACUCGUACCUUUUGCAUCAUGAUUUAGCCAGUAAAACUCAAGCACAGUGCCCUUUAGUUUGAUACCCCGAAACUGAGCGAGCUACUUCAAGACAGCCUAUUUAAUAGGGCAAACCCGUCUCUGUGGCAAAAGAGUGGGAAGAGCUUCAAGUAGAGGUGAUAAACCUACCGAGCCCAGUUAUAGCUGGUUGCCUGAGAAAUGAAUAGAAGUUCAGCCUUUUAGCUUCUUAACCCAAACCAGACUUACCCAGACCUGGGCUCAAGAAACUAAAAGAGUUAGCCAACGGAGGUACAGCUCCUUUGGAAAAGAUACAACUUUAUUAGGAGGUGAAAGAUCAAAAUUAUUUACUAGGUACAUUGUUUUAGUGGGCCUAA